rnacentral:rRNA from 1 species
AUCGCUCAGAAUGAAACGGGUGAAGCUGAAAAGUGAUAAGUCGGAUUCAGUUGGUCGACGGUGGCGAAAGCUACUGUUGACUAAUGCACUUCUGAUUUGUCCGCGUUGCGACCGGUUAUUGGAUUGGCAACUGGUUGGGAAUUGAUGUCGUCUUCGGACGUUUCUCGUUCCUAUAUCCAACGCCCGAUUCCGAUGACUGUGAACCGUUCGUACCCGCUUUGCUCUUGCAAUCUUUUACUUGUCCUUGUCGACUACUAGGUCCUGUUCGCAGAGCCUGGUGACUGCUUGGAUUUGUUGAUUGGUUGUUUAGAGUGGUACUGAUGGUCAGCAGCGUUUGUGUCAGCCACUUACCCGACCCGUCUUGAAACACGGACCAAGGAGUCUAACUUGUAUGCAAGUCAUUGAGUGUCAAACUCAUUGGCGAAAUGAAAGUAAUGAACAGUUCGGCUGUUCAAUAGUAAGAUCUGUUUGUUUCGGCAAACAGCGCACUACUGUCCCGCACAUGGAACUUGCUUCUAGUGCGGCGACUGAGCAUAUACGUUGGUACCCGAAAGAUGGUGAACUAUGCCUGAGCAGGAUAAAGCCAGAAGAAAUUCUGGUGGAAGUCUGAAGCAGUUCUGACGUGCAAAUCGAUUGUCAGACUU